rnacentral:rRNA from 1 species
GAUGAACGCUGGCGGCGUGCCUAAUACAUGCAAGUCGAGCGAACAGACGAGGAGCUUGCUCCUCUGACGUUAGCGGCGGACGGGUGAGUAACACGUGGAUAACCUACCUAUAAGACUGGGAUAACUCCGGGAAACCGGAGCUAAUACCGGAUAAUAUAUUGAACCGCAUGGUUCAAUAGUGAAAGACGGUUUUGCUGUCACUUAUAGAUGGAUCCGCGCCGCAUUAGCUAGUUGGUAAGGUAACGGCUUACCAAGGCAACGAUGCGUAGCCGACCUGAGAGGGUGAUCGGCCACACUGGAAGUGAGACACGGUCCAGACUCCUACGGGAGGCAGCAGUAGGGAAUCUUCCGCAAUGGGCGAAAGCCUGACGGAGCAACGCCGCGUGAGUGAUGAAGGUCUUCGGAUCGUAAAACUCUGUUAUUAGGGAAGAACAAAUGUGUAAGUAACUAUGCACGUCUUGACGGUACCUAAUCAGAAAGCCACGGCUAACUACGUG